CCCUGCUCUGUCUCAGAGCUGUUAUCACUUCAGCAUUCAAGUUCUAUCAGGUAGGCGCUGAGCCUGAGACGUGUGUGCUGUUUCCAGGACAGGGCGCCAGGGGACAAAGCCAACGUGAGAGGCAGUGACACUUCUGUUAAGGCAACUAACCAGAGGUCACGUAACUAGCCCAAGGUCACAUAACUGGGAAGUGACAGAUUUGCUGUUUCAUUCAAGACUAUUUGACUCCAGAGGAUUCAUUGUUGACUACUAUACUGUUAAAGAGGAUGUUGAUGGAAGAGGAGAAUAAAAGAGUUUCGAAGGCUGUGAAAUAUGGAGAAGAGUAAAGAGACCUGCUACACAGGUUGUUAGAAGACCUAAUAGGUAAGAGAAGAAUGAAAGUGGAAUAUUAAAAAGUAACUUGAAAGAAGGCAAGAAGAAAGGGAAAAAAAAAAAAAAACAGAUCGGAGGAACAGAAAGCACACAGAAUAGAAACUCAAGUGUUCCAAGGCACGUGCACCCUCCUUCAACCCUGACUGGUCCACAGAUGACUUCCCAUUAGGAUGCUCUGCCUAUGAAAAUCUCUUCCAUUUGCUUUUUGUUUAGUGGUAAAAGCCAAUUUUAAAAAUUAUUUUUUUAACUGAAGUAUAGUUGAUUUAUAAUGUGUUAAUUAUUGCUGUUUAGCCAAGUGAUUCCGUUAUACAUGUAUAUAUGCACUGUUUUUAAAAAUAUUCUUUUCCACUGUGGUUUAUCACAGGAUAUUGAAUAUAGUUCCCUGUGCUCUAUAGUAGGACCUUAAAAAAAAAUUAGCUUCAACUAAUCCUUCAAGAAAAUUGCUUUAUGAAGUUGUGUUAAUUUCUGCUAUUCAACAGCAUGACUCAAGUAUAAGUAUACAUACACCCCCUCCCUCUUGAGCUUCCAUCCCACUCCCCGCAUCCUGCCCCUCUCGGUCGUCACAGAGCACAGAGCUGAGCCCCUGUGCUAUAGAGCAGCUUCCCACUAGCUGUCCACUUCACACGUGGCAGUGGACACACGUCAAUCCCAAUCUCCCAGUGAGUCCCACCCUCGCCUUCGCCGCCGCGUCCACAAGUCUGUUCUCUACAUCUGUCUCUCUUCCUGGCCUGCAAGCAAGUUCACCAGUAUCAUGUUGUUUAUCCAGUCUAUAUAUAAAAGCUUACAUCUGCUAACCCCAACCUCUCAUCCCCUUCACAACCACAAAUCUCUUCUCAAUGUCCAUGAUUCUAUUUCUGUUUCCUAGAUAGGUUCAUUUUGUGCCCUAUUUUAGACUCCACAUAUAAGUGAUUUCAUAUGGUCUUUGUCACUUUCUGACAUACUUCACUUAGCAUGAUAAUGUCCAGUUGCACCCAUGUUGCUGCAAAUGGCAUGAUUUCAUUCUUUUUUAUGGCUGAAUAGUAUUCCACUGCUAAUCCUAGCAUUUGGCAAAGUGAGUUGAGCUUAGUUGCUGCUUAAUAAUGUUUAAAUAAGCAAGUGGAUAACUAUGCCUUUUAAAACCAAGGAAUGCAACUUUCUGCCCUUCUAUUUGACCCAAUUCUUAUAAAAAGCUUUAUACUUUCAAAUGGAAUGUCUUAUCACAAAUUUGAAAAUGUCUUUCACAGUCUCUUCAACGAAUGGUGCUGGGAAAAUGGGACAGUCACAUGUAAAAGAAACAAAAUUAGAUCAUUCAUUAACUCCAUACACAAAAAUAAGCUCAAAAUGGAUUAAAGACCUAUUGUGAACCCAGAUACUAUCAAACUCCUAGAGGAAAAGAGAGGCUAAGCACUCUCUGACAUAAAUCACAGUAGCCUCUCUUCCCAUCCAUCUCCCAGAAUAAUAGUAAUAAAAGCAAAAAUAAAUGAAA